rnacentral:lncRNA from 1 species
UUUGAACCUGGAUUUGAAGAAAAGAUCCAUCAGAAAGUUUCCUAUAACUUGUCCUGUUCUCUGGAAUUUUUUGUCCUGUAUAAUUUGUCCGUGACUUUGACCUUCAGGUAAACUGUUUUUCUCUGAGCAGGUGUAGAGAUGGUGAAGGGGGUGGUUAAAAAUACAUCAGUGGUUAAUUAUUAUUUGUCCCUGAAUGUUUCUUAAUGCAUUUUAUUAACAUUUAACAGUCAGAAGAUAAAGGAGACACUUUUGUUUUUAAAACCACACUGUUUUUCUGGCAGAUCGACAUCUGUACUCUAACUUGUUCAUGGCAGUGGGAAAGUUACUCAGAAGUCAAAAGGUAAGUUUGCCUUUUCUGCUCUCAGCAACCCUGUCUGUAAAAUUGG